rnacentral:lncRNA from 1 species
UCGAUUUGAUUUUCUUCAAUUAUUUGAAUUUCUAUCGCAUAUUUGUUUUUGUUUUCACUUGGAUCCAAUUUUAAACGGCGUCGUUUUCUGUGUUAGGUUUUGUUUAUUUAUUUUUUGCGUUUAAUUGCUAAUUUAGUCCCGCAAUAUUAAGUCAGAUUUCAAUUUAGUGCAUGUUGGUCUUUCUUUUUUUUUCUUUUUUUUAUAUUAGAUUUUAAAUAUAUUUAAUCCUAUUUUGACAUAUAUAUCAAAAUUUAGUAUUAUUUUAAUAUUUAGCUUUUGAUAGUUUUUUUUAUUUUACUAUUAUCA